rnacentral:rRNA from 1 species
UACGGAAGGGGCAAGCGUUGUUCGGAAUCAUUGGGCGUAAAGGGCGCGUAGGUGGUUCUGUAUGUCUACCGUGAAAGCAUACAGCUCAACUGUAUUUUGUCGGUAGAAACUGCAGAACUUGAGGCUGGGAGGGGCUGGUGGAAUUCCCUGUGUAGCGGUGAAAUGCGUAGAGAUGGGGGAGAACACUCGUGGCGAAGGCGGCCAGCUAGACCAGUUCUGACACUGAGGCGCGACAGCGUGGGGAGCAAACAGG